AUACUUACCUGGCAGGCGAGAUACCAUGAUCACGAAGGUGGUUCUCCCAGGGCGAGGCUCAGCCAUUGCACUCCGGCUGUGCUGACCCCUGCGAUUUCCCCAAAUGCGGGAAACUCGACUGCAUAAUUUCUGGUAGUGGGGGACUGCGUUCGCGCUUUCCCCUG
rnacentral:snRNA from 1 species